rnacentral:rRNA from 1 species
GACGAACGCUGGCGGCGUGCCUAAUACAUGCAAGUCGAACGAACCGCGACUAAGUGCUUGCACUAAGUCAAGGUGAGUGGCGAACGGGUGAGUAACACGUGGGUAACCUACCUCAUAGUGGGGGAUAACAGUCGGAAACGACUGCUAAUACCGCAUAGGACAUAGGAUCACAUGAUCCAGUGAGGAAAGGUGGCGCAAGCUAUCGCUAAGAGAUGGACCCGCGGUGCAUUAGCUAGUUGGUAGGGUAAAGGCCUACCAAGGCGAUGAUGCAUAGCCGACCUGAGAGGGUGAUCGGCCACAUUGGAACUGAGACACGGCCCAAACUCCUACGGGAGGCAGCAGUAGGGAAUCUUCCGCAAUGGACGCAAGUCUGACGGAGCAACGCCGCGUGAGUGAAGAAGGUCUUCGGAUCGUAAAGCUCUGUUGUUAGAGAAGAACAGCGCAUAGAGUAACUGCUAUGCGUGUGACGGUAUCUAACCAGAAAGCCACGGCUAACUACGUG